rnacentral:rRNA from 1 species
GUACACACCGCCCGUCACACCAUGAGAGCUGGUAACACCCGAAGUCCGUGAGGUAACCGUAAGGAGCCAGCGGCCGAAGGUGGGAUUAGUGAUUGGGGUGAAGUCGUAACAAGGUAGCCGUAGGAGAACCUGCGGCUGGAUCACCUCCUUUCUAAGGAGA